rnacentral:rRNA from 1 species
UACGUAGGGGGCUAGCGUUGUCCGGAAUCAUUGGGCGUAAAGCGCGCGUAGGCGGCCCGGUAAGUCCGCUGUGAAAGUCAAGGGCUUAACCCUUGAAUGCCGGUGGAAACUGCCGGGCUAGAGUCCGGAAGAGGAGAGUGGAAUUCCUGGUGUAGCGGUGAAAUGCGCAGAUAUCAGGAAGAACACCCGUGGCGAAGGCGGCUCUCUGGGACGGUACUGACGCUGAGACGCGAAAGCGUGGGGAGCGAACAGG